rnacentral:lncRNA from 1 species
CAACAAGGUGCGUUUAUCCAAUGAAUUGUAUAUUAUAUCGAAAUAUACAAUUCCUUGGUUUAUCGUAAAUGGCAGGAAAGGAAAAUACUUUGUUACUCUUUUCCCAAAAGGAAACAUGAGUAUAUAUCUUUAUUAGCCUCCCUUAGCAGAGAUAGUGAUGCAAAUACAAUAUCAAUGCAUAACACUGUAUACACAAAUUUGAACACAUAAACACACA